ensembl:lncRNA
GCGCGGAUCUGGAGCGGACUGUGCUGUGGCCGGGGGCUGGCUGGGACGCGGGGCAGGAGAUGGGGUGGCGGGGCGCGGGGGAAAGCGGAGCUGCCGUGGGCGGUGAGGGACACCUGUGGACAUCCGAGUACACGAACACAGACCUCUGUGCACACGCCGGGCUCCUGUGCUGACCCCGUUUUAUGCUUUCCAAGGUGUUUGCUCCACAACCUGAUAAUCGGAUCCCAUUGGCUGAGCUAAUGUGACACGAUGGAGGAUUUGAAGUUCCCGGACUCCCGCAAGCAAAGCCACCCCAAGAGUUAAAGGGAUCAGAGCCAUCUCUUCAGUUCAAAGCCAAGCAGGCCAAUAGUGCUUCCCCAUCGAUGCUGAGAUGGUCCGUGGCCCACUCUGGGUCCACAAAUCCAGGUUCUCUGUCAAGCCUCUCCUUGGAAAUAUAUGUCAUCCAACGUUGUCCUAUCUCUGCUCCCCCAAAAUGACCAGUGUCACAGCACCAGGGCAGCCAUGUGGCACACUUCUCUUUGAGGACCCAGGAUCUGGAGGCUGGAACCAGAAGGAACAGGCUGCCUCCUCUGAGGCCUGGGCUCAAACUCGUCCUGUUUCGUCUCGAUUCCUGUGAGGGCCUGGGUCUGGGUCUGAAUCCAUCGGCCAGGCUGACAGUUGAGUUGAGGGGCUUUAGUUCCAAGUUUGGAGCCCACAUGACAGCAGCUCCUGGGACUGAUGUGCAAAAUGCCAUUCUGGGGACUCCCCUGGUGGUCUAGUGGUGAAGAAGCCACUGUGCAAUACAGGGGACACAAGUUGGAUCCCUGGAUGGGGAUCUAAGAUCCCACAUGCUGCAAAGCAACUAAGCCCACACAACUCCUGAGACUUGCGACUCUGGCCUGGCAGAGCUCAUGUGCCACAGUUGGAGAGCCUGAGCGACAGAACUGCUGAAAUCGACAUGCUGCAACUAAGACCCUGCACAGCCAAAUAAA